UAGGCGGGCCGGGUUGCCGCAGGCUAUUGCCUGAGGAAAGUCCGGGCUCGGAAGGGUGCGAUGCCGGAUAACGUCCGGGACGGAAGUCGACCGGUUUCCGCGAAAGCGGGAGCCAAGGCGCUUUCGGACAGAUAGUGCCACAGAAAACAUACCGCUGCAUGUCCUGCAGUAAGGGUGAAAAGGCGAGGCAAGAGCUCACCGCAUUGCCGGUAACGGCGAUGGCAAGGCAAACCUCAUCGCGAGCAAGGUCGAACAGCGAUGGAUUACCCGUCCGGACUGCGCGAGCAGUCCACGUCGCGGGUAGACCGCAAGAGCGUGUCUGCAAAGACACGCCGAGAGAGAUGGCAACCAUGCGGUAUUCUGCGGCAGCGCAGAAUAUCGCAUACAGAACCCGGCUUACAGGCCCGCCUUUUUU
rnacentral:RNase_P_RNA from 1 species